rnacentral:rRNA from 1 species
AGAACGAACGCUGGCGGCAGGCUUAACACAUGCAAGUCGAACGCCCCGCAAGGGGAGUGGCAGACGGGUGAGUAACGCGUGGGAAUCUACCCAGUUCUACGGAAUAACACAGGGAAACUUGUGCUAAUACCGUAUACGCCCUACGGGGGAAAGAUUUAUCGGGAUUGGAUGAGCCCGCGUUGGAUUAGCUAGUUGGUGGGGUAAUGGCCUACCAAGGCGACGAUCCAUAGCUGGUCUGAGAGGAUGAUCAGCCACACUGGGACUGAGACACGGCCCAGACUCCUACGGGAGGCAGCAGUGGGGAAUAUUGGACAAUGGGCGCAAGCCUGAUCCAGCCAUGCCGCGUGAGUGAUGAAGGCCUUAGGGUUGUAAAGCUCUUUCAGUGGGGAAGAUAAUGACGGUACCCACAGAAGAGCCCCGGCUAACUUCGUGCCAGCAGCCGC